ACUACAUCUUCCAUAAGGCAAAAAAAAAAAACUCAGCUAAACAGAGGCAAAUUCAUGUCCCAAAAAAUUACAAGAAAUGGUUCCACCUGUGGAUGUGUCGAAAACUUGCCAUAUGAACCAAAUCCAAUUUAUAAGAGCCUCUUGCCUGAGCUGGUAGUCCAUUGACCGACGAUCUGUUAGGUUUUCCAUUCCAUUUAGCCAAGGCAUCCGCUUCUCUGUAACAAUGUUGGAUUUUGUAAUUGCCUUGUUCGGUUGCUUCUUAGUCUCCUGUAUGGUGUCAAGCAUUUUCCAUGGAGGAAUUGUCUUUCCCAGUAGCAUAUUCACAACCAACAGAGAGUCGCAUUCGAGAAUGAUAUGACUCAUACUAUUGUUCAUGCAUCAAUUCAAACAAAAAAGAACAGCCUUGGCUUCUGCUAAGUUGCUUCCUUUGCUAAUGCAUGUGCAACUUUGUUUCCUUCUCCGAAGCUAUGUCAAAGCAGCAGAUUGGUCUCCUGGAACAUUAACCAUCUGCAUUUCAAAAGAAAGAAUCACUACAAAAAAAAAAAAAAAAAAAAAAAAAAAUGGUUCCUUACGGUGGUGUUUUUAUGACGGUUUCUAUAACCGCCACAAUAAGCGAAAUAAUAAGGCGGUUUUCCAAAUGCCAUAUUAAGAAUUUUAUUUGCGACGGUUUUAAUAUUAUUACGGCGGUUUGAACCGCCGCUAUUUUUUUUAAUUAAAAAGAGUACAUCCCACAGCAUAUUAAGGUUGUACGUAUUUAGAACCUUCCACAACAUAUUCUCUCUUUCGCCAAAAUUGCUCUCAAUCGCUCUAAUCAAUCACUCUAAUCUCCCCAAUAUAGCUCAAAAUUCUCAAAAUCACUCUUAGUCGCUUUAUGGUAGCCGAGGGAUCAAAAGUUGCUGGUGAAGCUAUUGGGAUCAUAUUGAAGUGAUACACUUAAACAAGCUAUAGAUCUAGAUGAUAGCAAUUGGUUUGAUAUUUGCUUAAAUGAUAUUGAAGUAUCCACGUGGACGUACUAAAUAUUGACACAUGGCGGCGAGUGACAGAUCAGGUCUGAGUCAGCAAGCGAGGGCCGGGAUUCCGAGAGAUCACAUACAGCCAGCCGGAGGGUUAACUUGGCACUCCCCUCCGAAGACAGAUCUAGGCUACAACUGAUUCAGAGAAGCUCACCCGUCAACCGGUCCUGCACAUGCAAACAAAGCUGACAGGUGUUACGGGAUAUCCCAAGUCUCUCGUCUCCCUCUAGUCUUAAGUGUGUAAUAUUAUUCUUUAUUGCAAUUUAUUAUCACAACAUUAACAUUGGUAAUUAAGAGAGCAUGAUUCGGGGAUCAUGCACCCCAUAGUUCUAGUCUAAAUAGGGCUUUUCAUUUCAUUGCAACGGAUCAUCGAAAACUUCAUAGAAAA